AUGUCAAUACAACCAGAGGUGACCAGUAGCUGUGUUUUGCAUAUCACCAUCACCCACUUGUUUUACCAUGUAACAGAGGAGGUACUAGAUGAGCUAUUCGGUGCCUAUGGGGUGCAUGAUCUGUGUGUGUCACAUAAAUCGACACACAUGGAGGUGUUUGUGGAGUUCGAAUCAUGGCUGGAGGCGAGCCAAGCUAAGGGUGCACUGCAUGGACGGUGCAUCUAUGAUGGUUCCUGCCUUUUGGACAUCCAGCACGCCCCAUCAUCGAUCAGCGUCCACAGGCUGCCCAACUCUGAACCUGUCGUGGUCGAUUGGGAUUGUGUGGAGCUGGCGGAUCAUGUGGAGCUGGAACAACUCGUCUCUCUGCCAACUCCAUCGGCUUUAACUUCUGCUCCGGCCUCCGCAACAAUCACAUCCAUCGCAAUAUGUGAGGCGGCAGCCCAUGACACCGCAUCAUCGACUGCCAAUGAUGUCGGGAGGGCUCAUGGGGUCGAGGACGUCCUCCCUUCUUCCAUCGGUUGCAUCAGCAUAGUGCCUGCAAGCUGCUCGGUGUUAUGUCUCCAGAACAACUGUGACAAGCUGACGUGCACCUUCAUGUCCCGCACUACUCUGAGUAUCACUCAUCAGGUGCAAGCGUAUGGGCCCACAACUUGGCCGUUCCCUUCUCUGGUUAUGUGCAUAGGUGGUAGCUGUGUGCCACGGCCAUUGCCAUGCCCGUCCUUCAUGUGUGACCGAGGAGGCGAUUGUCGAGCUUUCCCAUGGCCAGCACCUCAAGGUACAUUAAUGGGAUCUUCCACUGCUAUUGUGGUGAUGAAUUGCUUUCCUGGUGCGGGUUUGAUAAAUGAGGCACCAUCUAGGAAACCUAUGCUCACCUGGACACCAUCUACUGGGUAUGCCACUAUGCCGAGGAAAUCUGAUGCACGGUCUGCACGACAUGCUGCAAAUAUGCCUGGAAUAUGUAUGUCGGUGCUUACUGAGUAUUCAGUAUUGCAAAUGCUUUCGCAUGGCUCUGCAUGUGAGGAAUGGUUCAACUCACCAUGGGAUCCUGGAAAGGGAACCAAGUAUUAUGUCCUAUUUGUCCUGCGUACUCUUGUUGAAGAAAAUCCAAUAGUGCAGGGCACUAUACAGUUCUUGAAGAUAUGUGUGCUGGGAAUAUAUUUUUGUACCAUGAAGCAUAAGGCCAACGACACUUGGACCAUCAGGUCUCUGCAGCAUGGUUAUCGGUUUGGAACAAUUUCGAUGCUAUUCAGUCCAUCUUGCAGCUUUAUAUCUGUCGAGGCAUUGUUCACUCAAUUGGCUGGGAGUUUCGGACACUUGUCUUAUCGUGAUUACCUGAACUUGCUUGGAAGCUGUUGCAAAAUUGCUAGUACUGAUCUGCUUCUAUAUGGGAAUGCUUUGUUCAUGGGACAUAGCAUUUCUGAAUUGGUCGUACGGCCGAAAUGGGAUUUAGAUGGUCAGAUCAUUAGAGAUCAAGCAUGGCUGAGUGUUGCGUAUGAAUUUGCAAGAGCAUACAUACAGUUUGUUCCCAUCGAUAUAUUUCUUGUUGUGCCCUUGCUUCCCGUACAUUGGUACUGCACAAUGGUGCACACAAGUAGGAAAGCUACAGAGGUUGCAGGGAAGUGCUAUUUUGUGCAGCUUGAGGUUCUAGCAAUGAAGAAUAAAAAUUUGGUUCUAGCAAUUGAUAUUUUUGUGCAAUAG
rnacentral:rRNA from 1 species